UGGGCGAAUAGUCGAAUGCAACACCCAUUCUUCCAAACUGGUGAUGCCGGUUCGAUCCCGGUCGCCCGC
rnacentral:tRNA from 1 species